AAAAAAAGAAGAAAAAAAGG
rnacentral:sRNA from 1 species